AAUUCCUCCAAAAUGACGUUAGAGAUUGAUAAAGUCAUGUGGAAAAUGUACUGUAUGCCACUGCAAACCCGGAAGCUGCUUGCUUGACGGCAGAGAGCAGGAGACACGUGGUUUGAUAAAGCGAUAAAUUGCGGCUCGGGCUCAUUAACGACCUCUCUUCCUUGUUGCGGUGAUGCAGGUCGGACAUGAGGUGCUGGAGAGACGAGAACUGACGAGGUGACACCUUGUUUUACUCUAAAUGUUCACCUUUAGUGAUGAUUCUCUUCGUUAUUGUCGCAGGUGUCGUGUUUAUAUUUAUGCGUUUGCGCGUUUCUUGACGUUAUUUCCGCACAUUGUUAGCUCGCAGCUUCAGUAGCGCCAAAUGCACCUCGUGGUUUCCGCUGAUGAGGAAAAUGCAGCUGAAUAUUAAACGAUGCGUACGAGGGACUGAUGCAAUUUAGGCUUUGAUUGGGAGCUCAGUGAACUUUAAGGUGCUGGGGCUGUGUUCUGUAAUGUUAUAACAGUUUAGGUUGAUGUGUUUGAGGUUAAUGACUCCCAUAGGAGGAAGACCUGUGGGUCAGGGUUUGAGUGUACUUCAAACAUCACAUACAAAACGAUCUAAAUGAAGCUGGCUUGCUUCACCGAGAACUGAACGAAACUGAUUAAAAUUGGAAGUUAAUUUUAGUUGCGUCAAACGACACAAUACCCGUGCAUAAGACCUCCGUGCUACUAUGUUGGGUCAACUAACGUCCACUAUGAACUUCAUAAGUAACAAAGUUAAAACUAAUAUAAAGGUCAAGCACUAAGGUCUUGUUUACAAAGGGUAUAAUCCGUUUUAUUAAGAACUUGAGGAGUCAGCGUGUUCCCUUUGUUUAUGCUUGUAAAACAAAGGGUUUCCUGUCUUGUCCUAUCUGAGAGUGUAAAUUCCUAAAUGAGCUAAAUAGGUUCUGUAAGUUCUAAACAUUGCUGUAAUAUUUACCAAAAUCACAAGCUGAAUGUUCAGUUCACACAUUUUAAAAUGCAUCAACUAAACUGUGCAUUAUAUAAAAAAAUAAGAAAUUAUUUCUUUACUCUUAGCUUUAUCACACUAGGCCCAUUAAUUGAGUUGUGCCAUUUCAGUUCUCAUCCUAUACCUGCUGCAGAUGCAGACUUGCCAGCUUUUAGUCAAACCUUGAUGAUGAGUUGCAUGUGAGUCCGUGUUUCACCUGAAACCUCAUGAUUAUCUUUCACUGCACUGAUGGGUUUGACAGUAAGGGCGCAGGUCAGGCACUCUGGUGUGUAAGUGCACAGUUAAGCUAAUCUUAUGUUCCUUUUCUUUCAGGAUUUCAGAACCUGGGUGUGUCCAAGGUAAGGUUUCUUCAGUUUUGUUCGCUGAAAUUGCAUCACAAUAUCUGUUGGUUUAAAAGUGUGGAAAUUCCCAGCUUUAGAUUCAAGGUGUUUAAUGUCAUGUGUCCAAAGAAAGGCAUUUCUCUGUGCAAAUGAAAUUGUUUCUUUGCUGUCCACCCUCAGAUGCUGGUUAAGAUAUACAAUAGAAAUAGAGCAGAUAAAAUACAAAUGGUAUAAAUAAAUGAAGACGGAAAAGGAGAUAAAAUUAAGAAAUUUAAGAUGCUGAAGUCAGGUGGUCUAUAGUCAAAAUUUAACUAGGGUCAAAUUCUGCUAGGUAAUUUCUUUUUUUGACUUUUUGAAAUUAAAUGGUUAAUGCAAUCCACUCUGGAUAUCAAAAUCCAGCCCAUAAUCUGAUAUUGAAUGGCCAAUAAGCUUGCAUCACAAAGGAACCGUAUUAUCUAAUAGCCAGUUUUCAUUAGUCCCUAUUCGGGUCAGGACACUUUUUAGGGUUUUCCAUUAGGUGAUAGUACCUGGUACUUUUUAGUACCAACUCAACCGGGGUACCAAGCAAUCGAGGCAGAAAUAUGAAAAUGUGUCGGUAGAUGUGGUCACUGAUUGGCUAGUCAGUGAUGCAUGAAGUCAGCAAAGCCAUUAAGUUGAUGACUUUAAAUUAACUUAGGUUAACAUUAAAGUGUUACUUAGUCUGUGCAGUAUGUUUUUAUAUUGUGGUGUACUAAAAAUGUGUAACCAGAGUUUAGUACAACAUAGUUCAACAGCACCCCCGCUUUUUUUUUUUUUAAAUUUAUUUUAAACUCUAAAGUGAUUGUAAUGCUGAAUUAAUGCCUUUGAGGCUCUAUUAAUAUUUUCUUUGUUUGACAGGUGAUGGAUCCUUCAUGAGCUCUGGCUGCUGGGUUUCCUCAGGUGGAAAUGUUGUGAUUUUAAAGUAUUAAAUGUAAUUUAUUUUAAUUAAAUCUUUGUUUACUGACAAAUACAACUCGAUCUAUAUUUCAGUGAUAACAAUUUGUAGUAGGUACAUUUGUGUGUUCAAUAAAGCAUCUUUUUUGUAAAUCAAA
ensembl:lncRNA